rnacentral:rRNA from 1 species
CCUACGGGGGGCAGCAGUGGGGAAUAUUGGACAAUGGGCGAAAGCCUGAUCCAGCAAUGCCGCGUGAGUGAUGAAGGCCUUAGGGUUGUAAAGCUCUUUUACCCGGGAUGAUAAUGACAGUACCGGGAGAAUAAGCCCCGGCUAACUCCGUGCCAGCAGCCGCGGUAAUACGGAGGGGGCUAGCGUUGUUCGGAAAUACUGGGCGUAAAGCGCACGUAGGCGGCUUGGCAAGUCAGGGGUGAAAUCCCGGAGCUCAACUCCGGAACUGCCUUUGAAACUGCUUGGCUUGAAUCCUGGAGAGGCGAGUGGAAUUCCGAGUGUAGAGGUGAAAUUCGUAGAUAUUCGGAAGAACACCAGUGGCGAAGGCGACUCGCUGGACAGGUAUUGACGCUGAGGUGCGAAAGCGUGGGG